rnacentral:rRNA from 1 species
GUCCACGCCUUAAACGAUGGAUACUAAGUGUCGGCGGGUUACCGCCGGUGCCGCAGCUAACGCAGUAAGUAUCCCGCCUGGGAAGUACGGCCGCAAGGUUGAAACUCAAAGGAAUUGACGGGGGCCCGCACAAGCGGUGGAGCAUGUGGUUUAAUUCGACGCAACGCGAAGAACCUUACCCAGGCUGGACAUGCAGGUAGUAGAAGGGUGAAAGCCUAACGAGGUAGCAAUACCAUCCUGCUCAGGUGCUGCAUGGCUGUCGU